rnacentral:rRNA from 1 species
CCUACGGGAGGCAGCAGUGGGGAAUUUUGGGCAAUGGCCGAAAGGCUGACCCAGCGACGCCGCGUGCGGGAGGACGCCCUUCGGGGUGUAAACCGCUGUCAGGGGGGAAGAACGGCGGAGGGGAGAAUACCUCUUCCGCGUGACGGUACCCCCAAAGGAAGCGCCGGCUAACUCUGUGCCAGCAGCCGCGGUAAGACAGAGGGCGCGAGCGUUGUUCGGAAUCACUGGGCGUAAAGCGCGCGCAGGCGGACCUGGCAAGUCUGGAGUGAAGUCUCGCCGCUCAACGGCGAGGCUGCUUUGGAAACUGCGGGUCUGGGGACCGGUAGAGGCUGGUAGAAUUGCAGGUGUAGCGGUGGAAUGCGUAGAGAUCUGCAAGAAUACCCGUGGCGAAGGCGGCCAGCUGGGCCGGAUCCGACGCUGAGGCGCGAAAGCGUGGGGAGCAAACAGGAUUAGAUGCCCUGGUAGUCCACGCCGUAAACGAUGGGCACUAGGUGCCGGGGGGAGCGACCCCUUCGGUGCCGCAGCUAACGCGAUAAGUGCCCCGCCUGGGGAGUACGGCCGCAAGGCUGAAACUCAAAGGAAUUGACGGA